rnacentral:rRNA from 1 species
CCUACGUGGGGCAGCAGUGGGGAAUAUUGCGCAAUGGGCGAAAGCCUGACGCAGCGACGCCGCGUGAGGGAUGAAGGUCUUCGGAUCGUAAACCUCUGUCAGCAGGGAAGAACGGUCACUGUGCUAAUCAGCAGUGAAUUGACGGUACCUGCAAAGGAAGCACCGGCUAACUCCGUGCCAGCAGCCGCGGUAAUACGGAGGGGGCGAGCGUUAAUCGGAAUUACUGGGCGUAAAGCGCUCGUAGGCGGUAUGUCAAGUCAAGGGUGAAAUCCCCGCGCUCAACGUGGGAACUGCCUUUGAAACUGGCAAACUGGAGUGUGUGAGAGGAUAGUGGAAUUCCAGGUGUAGGAGUGAAAUCCGUAGAUAUCUGGAGGAACAUCAGUGGCGAAGGCGACUAUCUGGCACAUAACUGACGCUGAGGAGCGAAAGCGUGGGUAGCAAACAGGAUUAGAUACCCCAGUAGUC